GCCGGGCGUGGUGGUGCAUGCCUGUAAUCCCAGCUACUUAGGAGGCUGAGGCAGGAGAAUCACUUGAACCCGGGAGGCGGAGGUUGCAGUGAGCCGAGAUCACGCCACUGCACUCCAGCCUGGGUGACAGAGUGAGACUCUGUCUCAA
rnacentral:SRP_RNA from 1 species